AUUGAACGCUGGCGGCAGGCUUAACACAUGCAAGUCGAACGAGUGGCGGACGGGUGAGUAAUGUCUGGGAAUCUGGCUGAUGGAGGGGGAUAACUACUGGAAACGGUAGCUAAUACCGCAUACCAUCGGAUGAGCCCAAAUGGGAUUAGGUAGUUGGUGGGGUAACGGCUCACCAAGACGACGAUCCCUAGCUGGUCUGAGAGGAUGACCAGCCACACUGGGACUGAGACACGGCCCAGACUCCUACGGGAGGCAGCAGUGGGGAAUAUUGCGCAAUGGGGGCAACCCUGACGCAGCCAUGCCGCGUGAAUGAAGAAGGCCUUCGGGUUGUAAAGUUCUUUCGGUAGGGAGGCGUUAACUGCAGAAGAAGCACCGGCUAACUCCGUGCCAGCAGCCGCGGUAAUUC
rnacentral:rRNA from 1 species